UCCGUAGGCGGGCUAAUAAGUCAGAGGUGAAAUCCAGCAGCUUAACUGUUGAACUGCCUUUGAUACUGUUAGUCUUGAGUUAUAUGGAAGUAGAUAGAAUGUGUAGUGUAGCGGUGAAAUGCAUAGAUAUUACACAGAAUACCGAUUGCGAAGGCAGUCUACUACGUAUAUACUGACGCUAAUGGACGAAAGCGUGGGGAGCGAACAGGAUUAGAUACCCUGGUAGUC
rnacentral:rRNA from 1 species